CUGAGCGCGCAGGCGCAAUAGUGGCCCGGCAACGGAGGCCCGCCUUCUCUGGCCUGCUAAGAGACGCUAACGUGAUGGCUGACGGAGUUCGCUCGUGCUUUCCUCGCCAGCGCUAUCUCAAGAUGGAGAGCCGACGCGAGAUAGGACAGCUGUGCUGAAUUUAUUAAGCGAGAAGAAAACAGAAAAAAAAAGACUAAUUUGCAGCAACUCUUUAUAGGUAAGAAUUUAUUGAAGAGUAGUGCCCAAAUUCUGCAGGAAGAGAAGAACCAAGUUUUCCUCCAUUGGUCAAAUUCAUAUCAGGUGGAAAGAUAACACAGUCAACAAUUGUCUCAUAAGGAUUGUAAUAAGUCUUCUAAGCAACCUUUUUCAUGCUGAAUUAAAAAAUGAGGUCAGGUUUUUUUUUAUCGGGCUUAGUUUUUUGUGACCCUAUUAUUCCGUUCAAUUAGUGGCAUGGUGCUUUAUGUUCACUAUAGUAGCAUAUCUGUAUCAGAUAUGUUUAGUUUGGAGGGAUCAAUCCACUCCCCACCUCCAAGUUAUGUUAUUUCUGCAUAACAAACACAACAGGGAUCACCUGUAAAAUAACCACACUAUGAAAUACCCAGAUUUACCAUCUGAAAUGAAGGUACCCAUGUAAAAGUUUUACUGUAUCAAAGCUUCUAAAAAUGUGACAGUUAGUGACAGUGACUAAUAUAAUGGUUGUGCUUAGGUAAAGCAGAAAAGGAAAUGUUUAAUUCUGAUCUAACAUUUCAGGUUAUCUAAAAUGAGCCACAUUUGUUGAUGCAAGGGGAUCUGAACAAUCUUGUUUAUGAUUUGAAGUCUUAGAAGCAGGAUGAACUUUUAAGAUCAAAAUGAAAGGGAAUCUUCACUGUCAUGAUAGUUAAGGGUUUUUUUUCUUUCAUAGCCACCAUAAUGAAUGUAACAAUUUAUUCUCCCAAUAAGAUGGACUAGUGUUUUGUAAAUAUGUUUAUUCCGUUAUGGAGACUCUUGGUCAUGAACACAAUGUAAAUAAUUGACUCCUUGAAAGUUAAGACGGAAGGGUCUUUUUCAUAAUGGGAAUAAUUUAUUUUCUACAUGUGGGCCCAUGCUGUUAACAGGAAAGUGUUACAUGAGAACAAGAAAGAAA